AUUGAACGCUGGCGGCAGGCCUAACACAUGCAAGUCGAACGAGUGGCGGACGGGUGAGUAAUGUCUGGGAAACUGCCUGAUGGAGGGGGAUAACUACUGGAAACGGUAACUAAUACCGCAUACCAUCGGAUGUGCCCAGAUGGGAUUAGCUCGUAGGUGGGGUAAAGGCUCACCUAGGCGACGAUCCCUAGCUGGUCUGAGAGGAUGACCAGCCACACUGGAACUGAGAAACGGUCCAGAAGCCUACGGGAGGCAGCAGUGGGGAAUAUUGCACAAUGGGCGCAAGCCUGAUGCAGCCAUGCCGCGUGUAUGAAGAAGGCAUUCGGGUUGUAAAGUACUUUCAGCGGGGAGGCGUUAGCCGAAGAAGAAGCACCGGCUAACUCCGUGCCAGCAGCCGCGGUAAUUG
rnacentral:rRNA from 1 species